GUGAUCAUUUACCUUCCUUUUCCACAGAAAUGUUCUAUUUUUAAGACUAAAUUAGGUAUGUCAUUUUAUCAUUUUAUCUCUGUAUAUUACAGUCACAUUUUACACAGACAUCCACACAAACACACAUACUAUAACUAUGUAGUAGGAUUUUUCUUCAACUGUUUUAUUUUAUGUUGAUCAACUUUCGUUUCAGUUGUUUUAUGAGAUAUGUUAGAACACGUUGAAUGUCGUACUAAUUAUGCCUAUUUCAACUAUGUUUUUAUUGUGUGUCUUGAGUUAUGUGGAGUUUUGUCUUUACUGUUUCCGCGUAAUGCGUUGUUGGGGACAUAGAAAUAUUGGGCGUCCUUAAAUACCGUCCAUCCGUCCGUACGUCUGUCCGUCCGGUUUUGUUUAAUAGCGCGCUCUUACUAAUAUCUACAAUUCUUGCCAUUUUUUUUAUAAAACUUAUAACAUAGGUUUACAUCAAAAAUGUAUUCGACUAAAUAGUUCGAUAAGCAGUUCUGAUCAUGUAUUUAUAAAACAGAUAGAAUGUAUAUAAGCCAUUUAGAAUCAUUAAUUGGAACAUUGCAUUGUCAGCGCAAUCAUUUGUACAAUUUGUGACAGAAUUUUAUAAAACUUAUACAAUAAGUUGUAUUAUUAAAAUCUAAUACGAGUGCGAAAAGCAAUGCCAAUCAAUAUUUUUUAAUAGACGUGUUACGAAAAUGUAUAUACUCGACACUGAGGUUGACAAAUUAGACUUUAAAUGCCAGUAUCGGAUCAAAGCAAACAAGUUAUUUAAAGAUUUUAAAUUACCUGUGUACCAAUUGAAUCAUUGUGUAAAACUGCAUAGUAAUGAUGUCCGCUUAUAUUUUCUUCAAUAACAAACGUCUUUUUAAAAACUUUAUCACAGCUAAUUUCCUGUUGAAUAUUCCUUAAGGAACAAAUAUGAUACAAUAAUUCUUCCGUGAAGAAUUACAAAUGAUAUACCCCGCUUAACUUUUGAAAAAAAGGAGGAAAGGGGGGGGGGCUAUAUAUUUUUUUAUUAACCUAGGAACAGUGUAUCCAAUUUCACUUUAUAUGGAAUACAUUUCCUUGGAUUGUUUUGACUAGUAUAUACUACUCUGUUUGAUACCUACUAAGAAAAAGAUUGAUUUCUUUUAUAUUAUUUUCAUGUAAAAUGUGACCGGUUUGACCCAACAACACCUUAUAUAUAUUCCUGCAAAGUUUCGAAAUAUUCCGCUUUGUAGUUUCUGAGGUACGAAUUAUGCCCCAUGGGAAAAAAUCAUAACGGAAAAUUGCACUACAUUUUCUUUGAAGCAUUCAACUAUUUAAUUUAAAAAAAAAAUUUUACAAGGACAAUAACCGAAAAAAAAGUUUUUUUGUAAUUGUCCUUGUACCUAAACAGAUAAGAAAAACGUGCAACGCGGGGGGACAUGUUAUGUAUGCCAUUUUCUGAAUAUUAGCCUGUAAAAAAUAUAAUGAUAUUGAAUUUAAAUGAAACUUGAACUUUAUACUAAUAUUAAAGGCCUUAAAGAUAAAAUUAAAUUAUAACCUUUAAAGUAUGCGAGACAUUUCACCAUAUAUUAGAUAAAGUUGAGAAUGGAAAUGGGGUAUGUGUCAAAGAGACAACAACCCGACCAUAGAAAAAAACACAACAGUAUUCAUGUAAGUACAUGCAAUCUAUUUUAGGAUUAUGGCCACCAAUUGGGGUAUUUGUGGUAUUUGUGAAAACCUUCAGAUUACCAAACCUUCAGUAGUAUGGUGUUCCGAAUGUGACGAAGGACUAUGUGGAGAGUGUAAGAAACAUCACGCAGUUUCCAAGGCAUCAAAAAACCAUGAAACCGUUUCUAUCGCCAAAUACAAAAACUUACCCACCGAAGUCCUGCAAAUCUCUCAGACCUGCAAACUUCAUAAUGAGAAAUACGAGCUGUUUUGUGCAAAACACGAUUGUCCUUGCUGUAAGAAAUGUGUGAAAUCUCACAACGAUUGUAAAGGUUUAACUGACAUAAAUGAACUCAUAAAAAACGUAAAAACUUCAAACGCAUUUAAUGAAAUCGAACAAACCCUGCAGGAAGUCGUCGAGAAUAUAAAACGACUAAGCACAAACAGGAAUGAAAAUUUAAAAUCUAUAGAAAACAAGAAAAGAGAAAUUGAAGCAGCAAUAAAACAAACCAGGAUAAACGUUAAUCAUCACCUUGAUAAACUUCAGGAUGACUUGAUUAAAGAACUAAUGACAGUUGAACAAAAGAGAAAAAAGCAAAAUAGAAAAAUUGUUAACUUCUCUAAAAAAGAAGGAAAAAGAGAUCGCUGAAGUACAAGAAAACUUUGCCAGUAUUAAAAAUCAUGCGUCAGAACUUCAAACAUUUUUAACAAUGAAAGAUAUCGAAAAAGAUAUUAUAGGCGAAGAAAAAUUUAUCAAAUCGAUUGCCACAAGUGACUCCACAAAUCAAGUCAAUAUUUCAUGUCAGAUUAAACAAGUCUUUUACAGCAAAUAACAGCCAGAUAUGCAGAAGUUUGGAGAAAUUAAUGUUAGUUCUGAUCCAUGUGAUUUUACCAUUCAGAAACGGAAGGACAGACAAGCCCAGAUUAUGGUCACUCUUCCAACCAGAGAUAUCGAUAACCUGACUCUGACAUUACAGAAAACGUAUCAAUACAAAGUUGUCAGAUGUCUCUGGUUGUUCAUUGCUUCCUGGUGAUCGGAUGGUAUUCUCCUCUUAUUGGACAAUAAAUUAACAGUACUAAAGUCUGACGGAUCAAAAGAUUUUGAGAUAAAGAACAUUGGUCGAAACGUUUGAUGUGGUAUUUAUUGGUGAUGAUUCUAUUGCUGUAACUUCCGGCAAUUCAAAUCAGAUUAAUAUAAUCGACUUAAAGAAGAAAUCAAAGACGAAAUCAAUAAAAGUUGAUUCAUAUAAUGGUGGAGUAGCAUACAAAGAUGGAUAUUUAAUAUAUUGUGUGCCAGAGAGAAAGGAAUACAGAUGAUCAGUCUGAAUGACGAAACAAUUACCAAUGUUAACAAUACCAAACUUUCAGGUCUUGCGUACGUUACAACAUUCGGUGACAAAUUGUUCUACACAGAUUGCAAUGACAGCGUAACCUGCUGUGAUUACCAUGGUCACAUACUGUGGACGUUCUGUGAUGAUAAAGUGUUGUGCGCUCUCCACAAGGUGUCUCUGUAGACAAUGAUGGUAACGUGUAUGUAGUGGGAUGUUAUACUAGCAAUGUGGUUGUUAUCUCUGCUGAUGGACAACACUACAGACAACUCUUAUCAAGUGAAGAUGGACUGAGCUUCCCAUGGGCUCUGCAUUAUGACACGUCUACCAAUGAAUUGUUAGUUGCAAAUAAAUCCAAUGAAGCCUUUCUGUAUGAUGUUAAAUAAUAAGACAUGACGGGUGACUUUUUCAAUCUUAUUCAACAUUUUCUUGAUCUCGAUUACAAAUAUUAUUUUAAUUGAAUUAUAUAAAUUUUUUGUGAUCUAAUUAAGAUCUGUUUAAAAUUAUUUUAUAGCGUUAUUAACUGACAAUUUCUGUAUUGGCCCUGUUAUAGAUUUGAGAUUAGCUGUAUUGGACCCGAGACUCGACGACAUCUUAUCGAGAUUAUACAGAAAAAUUAAACUUCUAAGGAUUCAUUAUUAUUCGUGGGGUACAAGUUUUAGUGGAAUUUCGUUGGUAUAGAUAUACCACAAAUUACAGUUAUGAGGCAGCAAUUCAUCUACAAAAUAGAUCUAAGGACAGUUCCAUAUGAAUAAUAGUAAAUGUCUGUCAUACGUUUUCGAGACAGCAACUCAUCGAAAAAAAGUAUAUAAUGACAGUUCCGUAUAAAUAAAAGGAGAUGUCAGAGAACAUCCCGACUUAAUAUCAAAGACAGUUUAAUUUGAAGAUGUCUGUUAAAAAGUUCAGUAUAAAUAAGCAAGGAAAUGCGUUACACGUAAACGAGACAACAACAUAAUGACAAAAUUAACAUAACAACUUUCAAUUUAAGUAAAGAAGAUGUUGGUAUUACGUACAUGAGGCAGUUAGGCAAUGUCAAAAUAAUUAGAAAUAAUCAAUUCUUCAAAUACGUUAUAUGAUUAUCAAAAAGGAUUUUCGGUCAUGAUUGUCAAUAUGGAGCUUCUGUUAUGAUUUUCAAUAAGACGAUUCGGACAUGAUUGUCAAUAAGGAGAUUCGGACAUGAUUGUUAAUAAGAAUUCGGAAUGAUUAUCAAUAAGGAGCUUUAGAUAUUAUUGUCAAUAAGGAGAUUCGGUCAUGAUUGUCAAUAAGGAGAUUCGGGCAUAAUUGUCAAUAAGGAUUCGGGCAUGAUUGUCAAUAAGGAGAUUCCGGCAUGAUUGUCAAUAAGGAAAUUCGGACAUGACUGUCAAUAAGGAGAUUCGGACAUGAUUGUCAAUAAGAAGAUUCGGGCAUGAUUGUCAAUAAGGAGAUUUGGACAUAUUUUGCAAUAAGGAAGAUAAAGAAGAUGUUGGUAGUACGUAUAUGAGGCAGUUAGGCAAUGUAAGAAAACUAAUCAAUACGCAUAACAUACGUUUUUGUGAUUGUCAAUAAGGAGAUUCGGACAUGAUUGUCAAUAAGGAGAUUCGGACAUGAUUGUCAAUAAGGAAAUUCGGAAAUGAUUAUCAAUAAGGAGCUUUAGACAUUAUUGUCA
rnacentral:lncRNA from 1 species